GAAGACUGGAAUCGCUAGUAAUCGCGAAUCAGCAUGUCGCGGUGAAUACGUUCCCGGGUCUUGUACACACCGCCCGUCACACCAUGGGAGUCGGAAAUGCCCGAAGCCAGUGACCCAACCUUUAAGGAGGGAGCUGUCGAAGGCAGGUCUGGUAACUGGGGUGAAGUCGUAACAAGGUAGC
rnacentral:rRNA from 1 species